UACGUAGGGCGCAAGCGUUAUCCGGAAUUAUUGGGCGUAAAGCGCACGUAGGCGGCUUAGCAAGUCGGAAGUGAAAUCCCUCGGCUCAACCAAGGAAGUGCUUUCGAAACUGCUGAGCUUGAGUACUUAAGAGGAUCGCGGAAUUCCCGGUGUAGAGGUGAAAUUCGUAGAUAUCGGGAGGAACACCAGUGGCGAAGGCGGCGAUCUGGGAAGAUACUGACGCUGAGGUGCGAAAGCGUGGGGAGCAAACAGG
rnacentral:rRNA from 1 species